UAUAUUUCCUUCUCGGGAACUAAUGGCUAUAAAAUAUUCUUUAUAUCAUUUUCACCCAAAACAUUAAAUUUGGGGUUUUAAAACCUUGAUUUUAGGUUUUUCUUUUUUUCGUUCCAUCAUCUCCAUCUAAUAGCUUUGGGUUUAUUUUUUUCAUUAUGAUAAAUCUUCAUCAAUUAGAUGAAAAUAAAGGGUUAGCUUGGAUAAUUCACAUCGGGGUAGCAUCAGAUUAAAAUGGAAUCGGCUUACUAGUUGGGUCAGACUAAGGUUAAAUCAGCUUGAAGAUACUCAGAUUGGCUAGUACUUAGUAUUGAACCUGACCCGGCUUGAACCAAGGGUCAACUUACUAGACCACUCAGUUUGGAAAGAUGAAUCAGCUUGGGCUGUCAAAUUGAAGAUGAUCCAGCUUGAAAUUUUCAUCCAGAUAGGAAAUCUGUCUUUUAUGGGUUAGCAAACAAUUUGAAGCAUGUGCCAGUGUAUUGAGAAACAACUAGCCUGAAACUAUUCAGCCAUUCAAGUCAAGGAAAAGCUCGUUGGUCUUAUUAGUAACUUGUGAUGGGUUAGUGAACUGGUGAGUGCACUUCAGUGCAACAACAAGUGUUUAAACCAGAAAUUAGACUAGCAAGUAUUUAGACCAGAAAUUAACACUCUAGCGAACAAGUUCCAUCAACAACCAACAAAUAAUAAUAACAAACUCAUUCAUAGUUCAACUACAGCUUGAAGUGAAUGAAAAUCAGCCCAGGUAUAUUUAGUCAGCUUGCAUAUAUGUAAGCUCGGGUAUGAGUCAUCUUUGGCUCUCAGUCGGCUUGGAUGACUCUAACUUAGCUUGAGAAGUAAUCUGCUGACAAAAAAUUCUGACUCGUUCUACUUAGCUUAUUUUUGCAAGGUCAGAUUGAAAUGCCCAGAUUCGGAUUGACUCAGUUUGGAGUUGUAUCAGCUUAUAAGAUGGAUCAGAUUCAGAUUGAAUCAGCUUAGGUCAAGGGUUAGCUUACAAGACCAAUCAGCUUGAAGUGAGUAAGUUGUGCCCAGAUUGGAGAAAUCAGUUUGGAGCCGUAUCAACUUAUAAGUUGGAUCAGAUUCGGAUUGACUCAGCUUAGGUCAAGGGUUAGCUUACAAGACCAAUCAGCUUGAAGUUUUUUUUCUCUCUUUUUUUUAGAACGGCACAAUCAGCUUGAAGUGAGUAAGCUUGUGCACCUGAUUGAAGCUAUUUCAACUUGUGAUUUCUAGCACUUAUUCUUUUCUUAUAUGUUUUCAACGAUGGACUGGAGAUACGUGUUCAACAUGUGAUUAUCGUUGUUCUAGAUGUUUCCGCAUAUCCUUAUGAGAUACAUCUUUUAUAUAUUUGUCCGAUUGAUUAUUUUUUUA